CUACGGGGGGCUGCAGUCGAGGAAAUUCUACAAUGCUCGAAAGAGUGAUAGAAUGAGUCAGAGUGUUUCUCUUAGAGAAACUUUUUUCUGUUGUAAAAAGACAGAAGAAUAAGGACUGGGAAAGACCGGUGCCAGCCGCCGCAGUAAUACCGGCGGUCCAAGUCGCACCCACAUUUAUUGGGUCUAAAACAUCCGUAGCUUGUUUUAUAAGUCUCUUGUGAAAUCUGAUAUCUUAAAUGUUAGGCGUGCAAGAGAUACUAUAUUACUAGAGACCGGAAGGCGCAAAGAGUAUGGUUAAGGUAACGGUAAAAUGUGUUAAUCUUAAUUAGACUAACGAUUAGCGAAGGCACUUUGCGAGUACGGAUCUGACAGUGAGGGAUGAAGGCUAGGGGCGCAAAAGGGAUUAGAUACCCUUGUAGUC
rnacentral:rRNA from 1 species